rnacentral:rRNA from 1 species
GACGAACGCUGGCGGCGUGCUUAACACAUGCAAGUCGAACGGAAAGGCCCUGCUUGCAGGGUACUCGAGUGGCGAACGGGUGAGUAACACGUGGGUGAUCUGCCCUGCACUUCGGGAUAAGCCUGGGAAACUGGGUCUAAUACCGGAUAGGAGCCAUUUUUAGUGUGAUGGUUGGAAAGUUUUUUCGGUGUAGGAUGAGCUCGCGGCCUAUCAGCUUGUUGGUGGGGUAAUGGCAUACCAAGGCGGCGACGGGUAGCCGGCCUGAGAGGGUGGACGGCCACAUUGGGACUGAGAUACGGCCCAGACUCCUACGGGAGGCAGCAGUGGGGAAUAUUGCACAAUGGGCGCAAGCCUGAUGCAGCGACGCCGCGUGGGGGAUGACGGCCUUCGGGUUGUAAACUCCUUUCGCUAGGGACGAAGCUUUUUGUGACGGUACCUAGAUAAGAAGCACCGGCUAACUACGUG